GACGAACGCUGGCGGCGUGCCUAAUACAUGCAAGUAGAACGCUGAAGGAGGAGCUUGCUCUUCUGGAUGAGUUGCGAACGGGUGAGUAACGCGUAGGUAACCUGCCUGGUAGCGGGGGAUAACUAUUGGAAACGAUAGCUAAUACCGCAUAACAGUAGAUAUUGCAUGAUGUCUGCUUGAAAGGUGCAAAUGCAUCACUACCAGAUGGACCUGCGUUGUAUUAGCUAGUUGGUGAGGUAACGGCUCACCAAGGCGACGAUACAUAGCCGACCUGAGAGGGUGAUCGGCCACACUGGGACUGAGACACGGCCCAGACUCCUACGGGAGGCAGCAGUAGGGAAUCUUCGGCAAUGGACGGAAGUCUGACCGAGCAACGCCGCGUGAGUGAAGAAGGUUUUCGGAUCGUAAAGCUCUGUUGUAAGAGAAGAACGAGUGUGAGAGUGGAAAGUUCACACUGUGACGGUAUCUUACCAGAAAGGGACGGCUAACUACGUGCCAGCAGCCGCGGUAAUACGUAGGUCCCGAGCGUUGUCCGGAUUUAUUGGGCGUAAAGCGAGCGCAGGCGGUUAGAUAAGUCUGAAGUUAAAGGCUGUGGCUUAACCAUAGUACGCUUUGGAAACUGUUUAACUUGAGUGCAAGAGGGGAGAGUGGAAUUCCAUGUGUAGCGGUGAAAUGCGUAGAUAUAUGGAGGAACACCGGUGGCGAAAGCGGCUCUCUGGCUUGUAACUGACGCUGAGGCUCGAAAGCGUGGGGAGCAAACAGG
rnacentral:rRNA from 1 species